rnacentral:RNase_P_RNA from 1 species
GGAGUCGGCCAGGCAGUCGCAGUAUCAAAAUGGUAUUGAGGAAAGUCCGGGCUCCACAGGGCAGGGUGCCAGGUAACGCCUGGGCGAUGUGAAUCGACGGCCAGUGCAACAGAAAAUAUACCGCCUUCGGAUUUCUCGGGGGUAAGGUUGAAAUGGUGCGGUAAGAGCGCACCGCACUUUUGGUAACAGAAGUGGCAGGGUAAACCCCACCUGGAGCAAGACCAAAUAGGGAUCCUCGAGAUGUGGCCCGCAUCGGAUCCGGGUAGGUUGCUUGAGAUAUCUGGCGACAGGUAUCCCAGAUGAAUGGCUGUCCAAGACAGAACCCGGCUUAUCGGCCAACUCCCAUC